GAACACAAAAUGGCGACACGUGGUUAGCAUUCGUCGCCAACGAGAAAUUGGGGUCGGCCCGAAAGCUCUAGAAUGCACCCCUCUUCCUCCCCGGGGCCUUCCACCUCCGCGAGUUUUAUGACUUAAAAAAGCCCACAGGCUGGUCUGAAGAGGAAGACAAACAUAAAGAUGAAGUGCUUAAUUCAAGGUCACACAAUGUCGGGGAUGGACCUCCAGAUUUCCUUACUGGUGAGACGUGGUCUUGUAACACAGUGGUUAAGAAUGUGACUUUGGAGCCAGCCUGCUAGGGGCUGAAUUCUGACUCAGCCAUUUACUAACUGUGUGACCUUAGGUCACAGAAUUUUCCACACUCCUUGACAGAGGUGCUUAACCCUUAUCCAUCAGCAUUCUCAGACAGCACCUCCGGUUAGGGACAGUAUCUGACCGUCCGACAUCCCUGCAGCCCCCAUGUGUCACACAGACUCAGCCUCAGGUAGAUGGUUUCCGUAGAUGGUGGCUUUCUUUGGACCCUUGACAUCAACCAGUUACUAUUUGCAGGGCCACACAUAACAAAUAGAAGCAGAGCAAGCCCUGGAACUCCUGCCUGACAGUGACACGACGACAGAAACAUCUUACCAGUCAGAGGACCAUGAGAAAUAGAUUCAAGGAGCAUUCCACGUGCAAGUGAGUCUUGGCCCCAUCUGCCUUUGGAUUUUAGCCGUGAACUGGAAGGUAUUGGAAAGAAGACCCUCAGAAAUAGCUUAAUCAAAAUCCCUGCGUCUGAACCAAGUGCCUUAUUUCUCUGUGGGCCUCAAGCUUCGCUGACAUCUGUGGAGCACACUGUCCUAACAGGAGUGCUGUCUGAUUUCCCAACGCUCUGCAAAACAAACAGCCUGGAAGGGUGGCUGGUGGAAGGUGGUUUUUAGAGAGAGACUUGUAGAUAACAGGAAAGUGAAGGCUGUAAGGAAGGUUGUAAUUAAACAGCACAUGGAAACACAAUCACAUUAUUGUCCCAUUCCAUAGGGAUAAUGAUGACCACUUCAGUGGGAAAAGGAGAGGUUUUAAGUCAUUAGGGACUAUGGGCCACCUUUUAGGAAGAUUUAUUUUCAAAGGUUAAAAUAGUGUUUUGGCAAUUCAAGUUUCAUUUUCAGAAAAUGUAAUUGAUGGGAACCUCAGUGACUCUGGAUGAAUAAGAUGCUGUUGAGUGGCUCUGACUUGGGCCAGCCGUGCUUCUCACAGGACCUUGGAGACCAAGGUCACUGUGAUCUCAGGUUCAGGGGGCAAGUCCUCUCCACACAGCCCUAGUUGGCCUCACAGCUGAAAAUGUCUCCCUUACUGUUGGACUCCUUUGUUCACCCACAUGAGUUUGUGAAUAAAUCCUUUCCAGUCUGAAA
rnacentral:lncRNA from 1 species